AGAAGAAGAGGAAGAAGCAGAAGCAGAAGAAGAAGGAGGAGGAGGAGGAGGAGAAGAAGAAGAAGCAGCAAAAGAGUAAGAAGCAGCAGAAGAAGAAGGAGGAGGAGGAGAAGCAGAAGAAGAAGAAGAAGAGGAGGAGGAGGAGGAGGAAGAAGCAAAAGAGGAAGAAGCAGCAGCUGAAGAAGGAGAAGGAGGAGAAGAAGAAGAAGAAGAAGAAGAAGCAGCAGCAGCAAAAGAGGAAGAAGCAGAAGAAGAAGAAGCAAAAGAGGAAAAAGCAGAAGAAGGAGAAGAAGAAGCAAAAGAGGAAGAAGCAGAAGAAGCAGCAGAAGAAGGAGGAGGAGGAGAAGAAGAACAAUCAAAAGAGGAAGAAGCAGCAGCAGCAGAAGAAGAAGAAGCAGAAGAAGAAGGAGGAGGAGAAGAAGAAGAAGCAAAAGAGGAAGAAGCAGCAGCAGAAGAAGAAGAAGAAGAAGCAGAAGAAGAAGAAGAGUUUUUUUCUUGCAGGCGUUCCCAGGAUCAGUGAUGUAAGAUGUAAGACAAAACAAUCAUUUUGGUAUCUGAAGUUAUAGCUGAAUGAAUGUAAAACCACUGUGAUCAUGGACAGAUCUGUAGCAAUGGCUUUUAUUCCCAUGAUCGGUGACCUAUGCAGAUUCUCCAAAUAGGCCAUGCCCACCUGAUGAUGCAAUAUCUGUUCCGCUGUCCUGAAAUCCCUGGAAAACAGUGCUGAAUGAGAGAGAGCUGAAUGAUGGCACUUCCGGUCAAUGAUGUCACAUAUGGGUAGAGUCUGAAUUAUUAUGGGUCGAGAAUGCUCGGCGUGACGGGGUUGAGUUCAGACUGAGGGACAUAACUUUAUAGCCUGUUUUUUAUAAAAUAUCUUGCAUUAAAAAAUUCACAAGAAAGGAACACCAAUCAAUACUUAGCCUACAUUACUGCCAAAAUUAUAGACACUGUGCACAUUUUAUUAAUGAUUUUCUAAGUACAAAUUCAGUAAAGUGCCUCAGGGACAUAAUAAAUUUCUUGAUGUAAGAUAGAAACAAGACAUUAUUUUAUGAUAAAGAUGAUUUGAAUGCAGUAAUUAUUUGUAUUCAAUAUAAUGGACAUACAAGUAUUGUAAAAAGCUUUUAAACAUUUCAUUUUAGU
ensembl:lncRNA